GCCCGUUAUCGGAGUC
rnacentral:tRNA from 1 species